rnacentral:rRNA from 1 species
GACGAGGGGUCCUAGCGUUGUUCGGAAUCACUGGGCGUAAAGCGUAUGUAGGCGGCUCUCUAAGUCGGUCGUGAAAUCCCAUGGCUUAACCAUGGAAUUGCGUUCGAAACUGGAGAGCUUGAGUGUGGGAGAGAUUGGUAGAAUACCUGGUGUAGUGGUGAAAUACGUAGAUAUCAGGUGGAAUACCGGUGGCGAAGGCUGGUUCUCUGGGCAUUACCUGACGCUGGAGGAGCGAAAAGCCAUGGGGGAGCGAACAGG